rnacentral:tRNA from 1 species
AAAAACUUAGGAUAUUAAAACCAAGGGCCUU